rnacentral:miRNA from 1 species
AUUUAGGUGCCAGAGAGAGA